rnacentral:rRNA from 4 species
UCUUCCCAUUCCGAACAGAGAAGUUAAGCCUUGUCACGCCGAUGGUACUGCGUCACAGUGGGAGAGUAGGUAGCCGCCGUUU